GUCAAUAUGUCCGAGUGGUUAAGGAGAUAGACUUGAAAUCUAUUAGGCUUUGCUUGUGCAGGUUUAAAUCCUGUUGUUGACA
rfam:Ipomoea nil DNA, scaffold: scaffold3065, cultivar: Tokyo-kokei standard.